CACGUAGUUAGCCGGGGCUUCUUAGUCAGGUACCGUCAUUUUCUUCCCUGCUGAUAGAGCUUUACAUACCGAAAUACUUCUUCACUCACGCGGCGUCGCUGCAUCAGGGUUUCCCCCAUUGUGCAAUAUUCCCCACUGCUGCCUCCCGUAGGAGUUUGGGCCGUGUCUCAGUCCCAAUGUGGCCGGUCACCCUCUCAGGUCGGCUACUGAUCGUCGGCUUGGUGGGCCGUUACCCCGCCAACUACCUAAUCAGACGCGGGUCCAUCCUGUACCACCGGAGUUUUUCACACCGGACCAUGCGGUCCUGUGCGCUUAUGCGGUAUUAGCAGUCAUUUCUAACUGUUGUCCCCCUGUACAGGGCAGGUUACCCACGCGUUACUCACCCGUCCGCCACUCAGUCAUCCCGGAUUCCAUCCGAAAACUUCCUCCGGCAUGCUUCGUUCGACUUGCAUGUGUUAGGCACGCCGCCAGCGUUCAUCCUGAGCCAGGAUCAAACUCU
rnacentral:rRNA from 1 species